AUUGAACGCUGGCGGCAUGCCUUACACAUGCAAGUCGAACGGCAGCACGGGAGCAAUCCUGGUGGCGAGUGGCGAACGGGUGAGUAAUAUAUCGGAACGUGCCCAGUAGUGGGGGAUAGCCCGGCGAAAGCCGGAUUAAUACCGCAUACGACCUGAGGGUGAAAGCGGGGGAUCGCAAGACCUCGCGCGAUUGGAGCGGCCGAUAUCAGAUUAGGUAGUUGGUGGGGUAAAGGCCCACCAAGCCAACGAUCUGUAGCUGGUCUGAGAGGACGACCAGCCACACUGGGACUGAGACACGGCCCAGACUCCUACGGGAGGCAGCAGUGGGGAAUUUUGGACAAUGGACGCAAGUCUGAUCCAGCCAUGCCGCGUGCGGGAAGAAGGC
rnacentral:rRNA from 1 species